CGUACGGCCGAUAGGUCUGUGACUAACUGUUGUCCGGGGUUCGUAGGCCCCCCUUGUAUAGACGUGAACGAGUGCUCGUCUAACCCGUGUCUUAAUGGAGGGCGUUGUAACAAUCUUCAGAAUGCAUACAGUUGUAGCUGUAAUUCUGGCUGGAGGGGAACAAGAUGUCAAACUGACGUAAACGAGUGCUCGUCUAACCCGUGUCUUAAUGGAGCCUGUAACAAUCUUCAGAAUGCAUUCCGUUGUACCUGUAAUUCUGGCUGGACGGACACAAGAUGUCAAACUGAUAUUAACGAGUGCUCGUCUGACCCGUGUCUUAAUGGAGCCUGUAACAAUCUUCAGAAUGCAUACAGUUGUACCUGUAAUUCUGGCUGGAUAGGAACAAGAUGUGAAACUGACAUUGAUGAAUGUGAAUCUGGACCUUGUCAAAAUGAUGGUGAAUGUGAAGAUAAGGUCAAUGCGUUUCUCUGCCAUUGCCAAUCUGGUUGGACAGGGACAACGUGUGCAGAAGAUGUUGAUGAAUGUUCUUCAAACCAAUGCCUAA
rnacentral:lncRNA from 1 species